rnacentral:lncRNA from 1 species
CAUUGGCAGAGAGACUACCUUAAUACAAUGGGAGGAAGCGAUGAACAAACUGCGGUGCAUUCACACAACAGCGGUGCUACACAGCAGCGAAGAGGAGCAGCCGACUGACACGCACAACAACUCGGAUCUCAGGAGCAUCGCACCGAGCUGGAGAAGCCAGACACGAGCCGCUGCACACCGUAUGAUUCCAUGGCAUUCUGGGAAAGGCAAAACUCCAAGCACAGAGAACGCAUGAGUUGUUGCCCAGGUUUGGGGUUCCAGGAAGAGGAUGGAUUACUAAGAAGCACAGGGGAAUGUUUUGGGGUGAUGAAAAUGUUGUAUGUCUUGUCUUUUUCUUUUCUUUUUGUGAAACAGAGUUUCACUCUUGUCGUCCAGGCUGGAGAGCAAUGGUGUGAUCUCAGCUCACUGCAACCUGCACCUCCCAGGUUCAAGCAAUUCUCCAGCCUCAGCCUCUUGAAUAACUGAGAUUACAGGCACAUGCCUCCCCGCCCAGCUAAUUUUUGUAUUUUUAGUAGAGACGGGUUUUCACCAUGUUGGUCAGGCUGGUCUUGAACUCCUGACCUCAGGUGAUCCGCCCACCUCAGCCUCCCAAAGUGCUGGGAUUACAGGCAUGAGGCACCACAUUCGGCCAAAGUUCUAUGUCUGGUCACAGCCAUUUACAUUCAUCAGAAUUCACAGAACCAUCCAUCCUGAAGUGGUGAAUUUGCUGAAUAGAAAUUAUACCUCAAAGACCAGACGUUCAAAAAUGCCUUUGUGUUUUGUAAGCUUCAACACUCGCCCAGUGGGAACCACAAAAGCGUUGCCCAAUUUGUUGAAAGCAUUGCUGUUAUAACUUCAGCGUGUGGGGAGAAGUUAUGUUUUCAUACUGUCUUUGUCUGCUCUGGCCACCGUUACAAAACACCAUAGACUGGGUGGACUGAUCAACACGCAUUUCUUUCCCACAGUGGAGGCUGGAAGUCCCCAAGACCCAGGUUCCUGGGGAGGGCUUUCUUCCUAGCCUGCAGGUGACCAACAUCUGCUGUGUCCUCUUGUGACUCUUCCUCAGUUCCUGUGCCAGAGGGGUCGGGGGACAAGUGGGCGUCCAUCUUGUAAGUGUCCUCAUAAGGCCACCAUCCUGUCAACCAGGGCACCACCCUAUACCUUAGUUAACCUUAAUGACUUCCUUGGUGGCCCCCCGUCCCGUUGCAGCCAGGGUUAAGCUUCAGCGUGCAAAGUGAAAGGCCACACAAAUCUUUGUCCGUAACAAAUGCCCCGUGGACAGGACACUCCGGUGCCCUGAGGCUGCAGGAGCUGAGGGUGAUCUUGCUCAGGUACUUCUGGUGGUACCUGCUGUAUGGGGAAGAAGUCUGUUCCUCCUGGCUGGUGUCAGAAGUAACCAGGCUGAAGCCAUGCUCUGAAAGAACCUGUGCAGGGAGAGAAAGACCUGUUUGAGACCGACCUGAAAGCUCUCGCAGGGGAAAGAACAGCUGCCUCACUCUAGUAUUCUGGAUGUGAUUUGGGGUCCAGUGAGAUGCACUGACUAAUAUCUGCAGUGUACAAUGCAGGCAGCAGCAGCGCCAGCUAAAGCUGAGCUCUGGUAGAGUUGGAUUGGAUGUUUACAGUGACCUACCUCUUCAGUGUGAUAUUUCCUCACGGUCAUCAGCUACAGGCUGUGAGACAGCCUGGGGGAGACAGGAUAGCCAUGUUUCCCACUACCUCCCAACCACUGGCUGGUGCACCAGCCUCCUGGCCUUAGGUCGCAGCCACAGUGACGUGACCUCCUACAAUCCCUGGCAAGCUGGAGGAGCAGCCCUGCAACCAAGCCUGCUCUAAGAAAAGGCUUUCUGUUUACUAACCUGGAGCUGCUCUAUUCUUUCACCCUUGUUCCCCUUUCAGCUGUCUCGCGCAAGUACUAAUUUUGCCAUUAAAUACGCAUUUUGUUUUGCAAAAUGAGAAGAGCUUAUAAAUACUUCAAAUUUUCUCCGUCUGUUUCAC